AGGGUUUGAUUAUGGCUCAGAUUGAACGCUGGCGGCAGGCUUAACACAUGCAAGUCGAGCGGAAACGAUGGGAGCUUGCUCCUAGGCGUCGAGCGGCGGACGGGUGAGUAACGCGUAGGAAUCUGCCCAGUAGAGGGGGAUAGCCCGAGGAAACUCGGAUUAAUACCGCAUACGCCCUACGGGGGAAAGGCCGGGAUCUUCGGACCGGUCACUAUUGGAUGAGCCUGCGUUGGAUUAGCUAGUUGGUGGGGUAAAGGCCUACCAAGGCGACGAUCCAUAGCUGGUCUGAGAGGAUGAUCAGCCACACUGGGACUGAGACACGGCCCAGACUCCUACGGGAGGCAGCAGUGGGGAAUAUUGGACAAUGGGCGCAAGCCUGAUCCAGCCAUGCCGCGUGUGUGAAGAAGGCUCUAGGGUUGUAAAGCACUUUCAGUAGGGAGGAAGGCCAAAAAGUUAAUAGCUUUUUGGAUUGACGUUACCUACAGAAGCAGCACCGGCUAACUCCGUGCCAGCCGCCGCGGUAAUAC
rnacentral:rRNA from 1 species